AGAGUUUGAUCCUGGCUCAGGAUGAACGCUGGCGGCGUGCUUAAUACAUGUAGGUCGGACGGGGCGUUAGCAAUAGCGCUUAGUGGCGAACGGGUGAGUAACACGUUGGUGACCUGCCCCGAAGCGGGGGAUAACAGUUCGAAAGGACUGCUAAUACCGCGUAAUGUAGUGAGGAUUAGAAUCUUGCUACGAAAGCAGCAAUGCGCUUUGGGAGGGACCUGCGGCCCAUCAGCUAGUUGGUAAGGUAGUGGCUUACCAAGGCGACGACGGGUAGGGGGCCUGAGAGGGUGAUCCCCCACACUGGCACUGAAACACGGGCCAGACACCUACGGGUGGCAGCAGUAGGGAAUAUUGCACAAUGGGCGAAAGCCUGAUGCAGCAACGCCGCGUGCACGAUGAAGGCCUUCGGGUUGUAAAGUGCUUUUCUGCAGGACGAGGAAGGACGGUACUGUAGGAAUAAGGAUCGGCUAACUACGUGCCAGCAGCCGCGGUAACACGUAGGAUCCGAGCGUUAUCCGAAUUCACUGGGCGUAAAGGGCUAGCAGGCGGCCGGAAAAGUUGGAUGUGAAAUCUCCUGGCUCAACUGGGAGAGGCCGUUCAAGACUAACUGGCUCGAGGGCGAUAGAGGGAGGUGGAAUUCCAGGUGUAGUGGUGAAAUGCGUAGAUAUCUGGAGGAACACCAGUGGCGAAAGCGGCCUUCUGGAUCGCACCUGACGCUGAGAAGCGAAAGCUAGGGGAGCAAACGGGAUUAGAAACCCCGGUAGUCCUAGCCGUAAACGAUGUAGACUAGGUGUUGGUGGGGUAAAAGCCAUCAGUGCCGCAGCAAACGCGAUAAGUCUACCGCCUGGGGACUACGGCCGCAAGGUUGAAACUCAAAGGAAUUGACGG
rnacentral:rRNA from 1 species